UACGUAGGGUGCAAGCGUUAAUCGGAAUUACUGGGCGUAAAGCGUGCGCAGGCGGUGAUGUAAGACAGGUGUGAAAUCCCCGGGCUUAACCUGGGAACUGCAUUUGUGACUGCAUCGCUGGAGUGCGGCAGAGGGGGAUGGAAUUCCGCGUGUAGCAGUGAAAUGCGUAGAUAUGCGGAGGAACACCGAUGGCGAAGGCAAUCCCCGUGGCUGCACUGACGCUCAUGCACGAAAGCGUGGGGAGCAAACAGG
rnacentral:rRNA from 1 species